AUUGGUGUUAUCUCCACUCUGAUAGGUAUUACUACCUUUAUUUGAUAAAUAUGAAAAUGGUAUCAAAGAACCCCAGCGAUCUAUCAAAAAACUUCCAGCUAGUCAGCGGUAGAAUUACAGAUGUUAAUCCAGUGCACAUUUCACACCUCAAGGAUAUUGCUUCAAAUCUGGUAUUGAACACAGUUAUGAUGGCAUUUUUGGAAUUGAAUCUGGACAACGUAACAAAAAUCUCUACGACGUGGAAGAGAACACCAAUUAAUUUAAAUGACUUUCCUUGGGGCUCACUGAUCAUCCUGCUGUGCCAAGUACAUUAUUAAUGUUCAGAUGAAUUGGCCAAAACAUUCUAUAUUCAGCAAUUCAUUACUGGAAACUAAUGAUUUCCAUUAUCUGGUUGUACCAUAUCUUCGUCUGUUUUAUGCAGCUAUGACAGAAUAUGUGAGGCCGGAUAAAUGAUGAAGGACAGACGUUGGUUUCUCACUGUUCCUGAGACCGAGAUAUUCAAGGUCAAGUUACUAGCAGGAUUGGUGUGUCUGGUGAGAGUCAAGAUUUCAUUUCCAAGAUGGUGCCUAGAAUGUUCUAUUCUUCACAGGGAAAGGACAAAAGAGAGAGAGAGAAAAGGGGGUUGAACUUGUUCUUUUAUAAGGUCAUCAAUCCCACGCCCGAGGGCAGAAUCCUCAUGGCCCGAUCACCACUUUUUUCCCAUAUUUUUAAAUUGAUGCAUUAUAAUUACACAUAAUAGCGAGGGUCAUUGUUCCUUAUUUGUACACGCACAUGAUAUAACAAUAAAACAUGGCCCAGCAUC